rnacentral:rRNA from 1 species
GCUUACUGCAGUCGAGCGGGGGAAGGUAGCUUGCUACUGGACCUAGCGGCGGACGGGUGAGUAAUGCUUAGGAAUCUGCCUAUUAGUGGGGGACAACAUCUCGAAAGGGAUGCUAAUACCGCAUACGUCCUACGGGAGAAAGCAGGGGAUCUUCGGACCUUGCGCUAAUAGAUGAGCCUAAGUCGGAUUAGCUAGUUGGUGGGGUAAAGGCCUACCAAGGCGACGAUCUGUAGCGGGUCUGAGAGGAUGAUCCGCCACACUGGGACUGAGACACGGCCCAGACUCCUACGGGAGGCAGCAGUGGGGAAUAUUGGACAAUGGGGGGAACCCUGAUCCAGCCAUGCCGCGUGUGUGAAGAAGGCCUUAUGGUUGUAAAGCACUUUAAGCGAGGAGGAGGCUACUUUAGUUAAUACCUAGAGAUAGUGGACGUUACUCGCAGAAUAAGCACCGGCUAACUCUGUGCCAGCAGCCGCGGUAAUACAGAGGGUGCGAGCGUUAAUCGGAUUUACUGGGCGUAAAGCGUGCGUAGGCGGCUUAUUAAGUCGGAUGUGAAAUCCCCGAGCUUAACUUGGGAAUUGCAUUCGAUACUGGUGAGCUAGAGUAUGGGAGAGGAUGGUAGAAUUCCAGGUGUAGCGGUGAAAUGCGUAGAGAUCUGGAGGAAUACCGAUGGCGAAGGCAGCCAUCUGGCCUAAUACUGACGCUGAGGUACGAAAGCAUGGGGAGCAAACAGGAUUAGAUACCCUGGUAGUCCAUGCCGUAAACGAUGUCUACUAGCCGUUGGGGCCUUUGAGGCUUUAGUGGCGCAGCUAACGCGAUAAGUAGACCGCCUGGGGAGUACGGUCGCAAGACUAAAACUCAAAUGAAUUGACGGGGGCCCGCACAAGCGGUGGAGCAUGUGGUUUAAUUCGAUGCAACGCGAAGACUUACCUGGGCCUUGACAUACUAGAAACUUUCCAGAAUGGAUUGGUGCCUUCGGGAUCUAGAUACGGCUGCAUGGCUGUCGUCAGCUCGUGUCG